GAAGGGGAAAGCACAGUGAAAUGCUAAGUUUCAGAAAAGUGACCUAAAGGACAGUUUGGUCCCAGGAUGAAAAAAAGAAGAUGUGGUUUGAUCAAGUUGUAUGGAUGAUCUAAGCGGUCCACCCAUUCUUCUCUUGUGGGAAGGAGUGGGGGCAGCCUGAGAAGACCCUGUUUGGAAGAACACACCCAUCUCUCUGGGACAGGGGUGGGGAACAGAAAGGGAGGAUGGAAAAGAAAACCAUAAGAGAUUUGACUGAAGCACAGAAAAAAAAAAAAAAAAAAAAAAAAAAAAAGCAGAUCCCUGAAUGUACUAAUCCUUGUUAGUAACAGUCUUUCCCAAGUUUCUGCUGUAACCAGCACGUGAGCAGGAAGACCAGGAGCUAUUUCCGACUGUCAAUGAAUUGUAUAAUGGCUCUGCUGCAGUGACUUCCAAACCAGGAAUUAAACACUUUUUAAGAAAAAAUUUAAAAAAAAUUCCUGUGCUAGUCUCCCAGAAAAAUGUACAUGUUUUGGAGACUUCAAAGGUAUUAUCAGAGUUCACGUUUAGCCACAGCUUAUUAAUAACCCUCAAGCUGUCAGAAUCUCUAUAGUUACCAUUUACAAUUUUAUACUGUGAAAAAAAUACAGAUCAGUGAAAACCAUAAAGAUAAGUUGGAAUUCACGUUGAAGAGGGUCUGAGACCUGGGAGAUGCUCUACUCUCUGUUCAAGGAUGAGGCAUGUAGGAGUUCCCGUCGUGGCGCAGCGGAAACGAGUCCGACUAGGACCCAUGAGGCUGCAGAUUUGAUCCCUGACCUCGCUCAGUGAGUUAAGGAUCCAGCGUUGCCCUGAGCUGUGGUGUCGCAGACGUGGCUCGGAUCUGGCAUUUGCUGUGGCUCUGGUGUAGGCUGGCAGCAACAGCUCGGAUUCGACCCCCUAGCCCGGGAACCUCCAUAUGCCGCGAGUGCAGCCCUAAAAAGAUAAAAGACAAAAACAAAAAAACAAACAAACAAACAAAAAAAGAAUGAGGCAUGUAUAAAAUAGUUGGCUGAAUUUCACUGAUCUUCCCAAUGUGAACAAAUAUACUAUGUAUAUUGUGUGUAUUUCUAGAAUUCAAUGGCAGCUGCUGGUGGUGUUGUAAUUAGAAAUCUAUAUAGAAUAUAGAUGUUUUAGAGAGAUGGUGCCAAUCCUAAAAGAUUUGUGUGGGCUACAAGUGCUUGUAUUUACUUUUUUCUGCACUUUAACUGAUUUGGUUUUAAAAUGGUGUGCGCGUAUCCGUUUUCUUUUUUUUUUCUGUUGUUGCAGCUUGUGCUAUUAAAACAAUAGAGAAUGUUAAAUUAUUUUGAUGUGAAUUGCAAAUGAUUUUUUCAUAAAGUUUAACAUUUUUAUCAGCAUUGUUUUGCUUUGUACUUGUAUAAAUGUGUUUUAUUUUAGUAUUUUAAAAUAUACUUGCCUGUUUCUCAGUUGUCUAAAUCAUGUUAUAUAGCUGGUGUUUGUGAAGUCAAGUUACUUUUGGAAAAACAUUAAAAAAGAAACUAUGAUAUGACUUUAAGAUUCUUCCCCUUAAGUGUUUAGAAUGUUUCAUAAUGUUUUCUAUGACCCAAAGAGCAAUACUAUUUAUUAAUCUUAAAUUCCAAAUGAUCUACACAUUUGAGUUAGGGGGGUUGCAAAGCAGCCUGUGGACAAGGAUUAACAUGAGAACAUAAGCCAACCACAAAGCAACCAGAGAUCCCCAAAGGCACCUACAAACACCUUUUAAGACACAUAAAUACUUUUAUUAAAACAAGAAAGCAUGUGGGUAAUAUCACUUAUUUUCUUUGUGCCUGGAAAUACAAAUACAAAUUACAUACAUAGUUCCAUGAUUAUCCCUUUUGAUAGAAGUAACAUCACAAAAAGAAUAUAGAUUUUGUGUGUGUGUGUGUGUGUGUGUGUAUGUAUAUGUAUAUCUGUCCAUGUUAUACAAACCUACACACAUCUAUAUAGAUAUUUCACUUUUGAGUCCAUCUAUACCUGUGUUUGUAUGUGUGUGUGGGCAUAUGUAUAUAAUUUUGCCAAAAAAAAAAAAAUUACUUGUCAAAUCACAUUUUACUUUGAUGGAUUCUUAAGCAAGUUAACACUCCCUGAAGACAAAUUAACUGAAACAUAAAAUAACAGUGUAGGAGUUCCCGUCCUGGCUCAGCAGAAACGAAUUUGACUAGUAUCCAUGAGGACACGGGUUCGAUCCCUGGCCUCGAUCAGUGGGUUAAGGAUCCGGUGUUGCUAUGCGCUGUGGUGCUGGUUGCAGAUGCAGCUCGGAUUGCUGUGGCUUUAGUGUAGGCUAGCGACUACAGCUCUGAUUUGACCCGAGCCUGGGAACCUCCAUAUGCCAUGGGUGCAGCUUAAAAAGACAAACAACAACAACAACAACACAAUGUAGAUGAGAUACAUGAUGUGUGGAACAGAAAGACAAUGUAAAUUUUAAAAUACAGCUUCUCCCUGCUUCCUUACUUGCAUUAUUUAUACACAUUAUAUAUAUUUUUAUCUUAUUGUACAUAGGUAAAUUGAUACAAGAUAUGUUUAAUCCUAAAAAAGAAAACCAGUUUUUGUCAGACUCUAAUUCAACAUCUUCUAUUCUGAACUAAUUCAAAUGGGCAUAUGUUUCUAUAAACUUGAGAUUGAGGGGAGAUAGCUGGACCAUAUACAGAAAAUUAUCUUUUAAAGAUCAGAAGAGAUUUGUAAGACUCCGUAGAACCAUGGGAGACCAGAAAAAAAGUAGCUGAUGCAAUAGAAAUAACAUUAAGUAGAAUUAAAAGUCAGAAUAUAUGGCCCUGUCCCAUACAACCUUGGAUAAAUUAUCAGUUCCUCUUUAUCUAAAUGCAGAUAUGAGUUAUAAUAACCCAUGAGAUUCAUUUCUUUUCCAGCAUUCCUGGUAUAUGGUAAAUGCUCAACAGAUCAUAACUAUUAUUAAUGGCAAUAUAGUAUUUGUUAUUCAGUUAAUAUCCAGCCGGCAGCUUAGCUGUGUUAUGUCCGAUAUUACUGGGGGAGCUGUAACAAAUUACUGUUCAAUCUCAAGCAUGUAUCAUUCUGGGGAAAAUCCAUUCAGGUUUGAACUCACAUGCAACUUUGGAAUUGUUCAUCUAGGAUAACGUAUCUAGGUUAUCUAGUCAUAUGUUAUUAUCUUAAAACACCACAGAAAGAAUACUUAUCUUCUGUUAUAGUCUAUGCUGAAUGCUAGCUAAUUUUUUGGUUAUACCAUUCAUAAUCAUUUUUAAAAAUAAACCAUUUUCCUAUAAAUGUGAUAAAAUUCAUUGAGUAUUAAAAAUAAAAAAUAAAAUAAAAUAAACCAUUCUCAAACAUUUACUUUUUUAUGAUAGCUAGCUAUACAGGUAUGUAAAUAGAAAUGUAUUAAUGAAAUUAUCUCAAACAAUUGCAUGGUAAUUACACUUUUUCUCAAAAUAUUUUGAAAUUCAGAAUCAGUUACUACAUUAUUUUUGAACAAUAAUUUCAGUAGAUAAAUUCUAAGGAAAAAACCUUUAGACUCACCUCUCUGGCCAUAUUUAGACACCUAAACAAAAAUUAUAGGAAAACUUCAUUUAUAAUGUCCACAAGAAUAAGUAUUUUAAAUUAGCUUUUACUCCAGACAAAACACUUUUUUUGGCCAUGCCUAUGGCAUGUAUAAGUUUCCAGGCCAGGGAUCAAACCCAAACCACAGCAGUGAUCCAAACUGUUGCGGUGACAAUGCUGGAUCCUCAACCUGCUGCAGCGCAAGGGAACUCCAAACAUUUAUUUUUGCCAUAACACAUAAGUCUUUUUGAGGUUAUGACCUAGGUGAGCAUCUAUACAAGCAAGCUAGUUAUAUGGUAUAUAUAUAUAUCAGAUGCAUUUGGUUUAUUUAUAUAUAACUUGUAUUUUUACUCAUUGACAUAAAACAAAGCCUUAUGUAACUAUGACGUUUCUAUAAAGGGAUAAAUGUUUAUAUAAUAUUAUGACUACUAUGUCAAUGAAAAUUACAAUUUAAUUAGUAAAUUAGCUUUUCUGAACUGCUAAAUAGUAAGAAGAUGUUCCAUAAAGUAAAAAGUUGGGUUUUUUUUUUUUUUUUUGGCCGCACCCACAGCAAAAUUUCCCAGGCAAGGGAUGUAACCCACACCACCCAAGUGUCCUGAGCCACACCAGGAACAACAUCAAAUCCUUAACCUGCUGAGCUACCAGGGAACUCCAAGGUAAAAGGUCUUAGAGUUUUAAAAGUUUGGAAAUUAUAAUAAUUCCGUAUUUCAUGGUUGGCUGCCUUCAUCUCAGAAUCUUAGAACUUGCCACUCCACUUUAAAUAGGCUAAUAGACAAUAGCUCUGAAAGACUUUUUUUGUGUGUGAUCAGUCUCCUUGGAGUAGGGCUUCACAGAAUGAACUUUGGAAAUGGUAUGACAUAAAAUUUAUAACUCGUAGACACUUUUUCUUUUAGUCUUGAAAACUAAUUGCUAUAUCCAUGAUGAUCUCACAAGGAUUUUAGAGAAGAAAAUAUGGAUUGAUAUCAUCAUUUUCAGAGCCAUUUAUUAUUGAAUCAUAGAAAGCCUUCCUUCAUCUUAUCAUCCAUUUUACUCAUAUUUUCUGAUUUCUCAGUGCUCUACAGCACGUUAAAUUUAUUCCCAGAGGUCAAUCUGAGGGUUUUCUUUUAUUUUUUCUAAUCAACAUGUUGGAUGAUUUCCUUAACUCCAACAGACUCGGAUGAAGCAAUACGUGGGAGAGUGGCAUUAGUAGAUGUUAAGUAGCCAGUGAACUGUAUUCCAAGAGCAAUAGAAGCCUAUUGGCGUAUUUUCUGGAAGUUAUUUUAGAAAUGUUUUUCACAUUUUUUCUAAUUUAUCUAAAUAAUCAAAAUUACAUAAGCACAUCUAAUACAUGUACUAUCCCAAUGCAUUUCUAGCGUGUUCAAAAUAAUGCUUUUCACCUUUUACCUCCCUGUGGGUUGUGGUACUCUCUGUCACAUGGUUUCUCUCUCUAAAGAGCUCAGAUCUCAUCACUAGUCCUAGUACAUUCAUCCUACUUUUCAAGGAGGCAUGAAAUGUAUGCAGAGAGAAAAGGUGUUUUUCUGGGGAUGUAAACAUACACUCGAACAAUCCAGGACAAAGCGGCAACAAAAUUAAGAGAGCCUCCUAGCUUAUUACUAUUCAGCAGUUCAGAAAAGCUAAUUUAUUAUAUUAAAUUAUAAUUUUCAUGGAUAUAGCAUUCAUAUAAUUUAUUAUGUGUCAUUCAUCCUGUUAUAGAAACAUGACAGUUAUGUAUGGCUACAUGGAAAUGAACUUAAUGAAAACCCUGCAUAUUAAAAUUUGCGUAACAACCAGAAUGCU
rnacentral:lncRNA from 1 species